GAUGAACGCUAGCGGCAGGCCUAAUACAUGCAAGUCGAACGGAUCAGGUUCCUUCGGGGACCUGGUUAGUGGCGCACGGGUGCGUAACGCGUAUGCAACCUACCUUCCACAGGGGGAUAGCCCGGAGAAAUCCGGAUUAAUACCGCGUGUGACCACGAGAGGGCAUCCGACCGUGGUAAAAGCUUCGGCGGUGGAAGAUGGGCAUGCGUGCCAUUAGCUAGAUGGCGGGGUAACGGCCCACCAUGGCUACGAUGGCUAGGGGUUCUGAGAGGAUGGUCCCCCACACUGGUACUGAGACACGGACCAGACUCCUACGGGAGGCAGCAGUAGGGAAUAUUGGGCAAUGGCCGAGAGGCUGACCCAGCCAUGCCGCGUGCAGGAAGAAGGCCUUCUGGGUUGUAAACUGCUUUUGUAUGGGAAGAAAACGCCCCUGCGGGGGUAACUGACGGUACCAUGCGAAUAAGCACCGGCUAACUCCGUGCCAGCAGCCGCGGUAAU
rnacentral:rRNA from 1 species